UGGGCCAAGUGGUGCCGAUUCACCUCGGGCAGCUUCUGCCAGCAACCUGCGAGGUCCAGGCUGACCAUCUCCCCUGGGGCAGCCCGGGGUGAUCGGUACUUGAGUGAGCAGAGCCCAAAGCCGUCGGGUCCUCACCGAAUGGCGCACAAGAAGCGUGCCAGGUCUCGGGGGUGCGGCUCCCGCAAGGAGGAUGUGUACCCAAACUGCACUGGGGAGAAAGCUGAUGGCCUUUAGCCUCUGGUCACCACUGGCACGGGAUAAUUUAGCCGUGAAACGCUGAUAGACUCUUCCUUCCCUCUGAUGAGUUGGUUUAAGAAAGGCAGACCAAUUUAAUGGGAUGAGAAAUCCCCGGGGCCCGGGCAGCUGCGCCCUGAGAUGCUGUAGCUGGAACAGCAUGGCCGUGUGUGUGCUGAGCCAGCUCUGUGCCUUCUGUGUCACGUACGUGCCAUGGCUGGAGACAGGACGGGUGUGAGCGAGCCCCAAAUACCACUCAGUGAAGUUUUUCUCUCCGACUUGGAGCGAGCUUCCCUUCUGCAAAGCCUCUGCAGUGUCAGAGCAGCAGCACCACUGGGUAUUUCUCUUAGGUGCAUCCAGGAAAUCAGAUGUACUGAAUUUUAAAUUCCAUACGGAGUUUUUAAUGACAUCUGGGUGCCAUUGCAAACACUUGCCCACCAUCCAACUCCAGAUCCAUGGCCCCCAUGGGUAGUUGGAUAUUAGGCUUGGGCUGUUGCCUGUUCACAGCUGGGCCCUUCUGCUGUUGCCUCCAGCCCAUUUGGAGCAGGAGCAGCUGGCACAGUGGCUGAGCCCACAGCUUGGCGAGACAGUGCACAGGGGCCUCUUGUACAACACCCUCCUGGCAUGGCAUACUCUGUGGUAGCCUGGACUGGUGCAGGGCUUCCGCAGGAGUGGAGCACAGGAGAAGAGUAUGAAGCAGAUGGACCACAGCACUGAAAGCAGAGAGCCUAAUUAGAACAUGAGCAAAAGAAAACAGUUACCCUCAAGAGCCCCAGAAGAAACUUUUUCCUCAACCAAUAAACUGCUGACAAGAUGCCAUAGAUCCAGCAACAACAAAAUAUGCAGCAAUCUUCAGGCUUUCUGAGUGGAAGGCACUUAACAAAGGAGUAUAACUCAAAGUAAUUGUACAGUUAUUUCUGGAAGAAUUUUGACAUUUGCAGCCAACUGCAGUUUAAUAGACUGAGCUAACAGAAACAGAACUGUUCUUUUGCAUAUGGCAGUGACUCAUUGUUUAGAAGCAAUCUGGUGCCUAUAAUGUAGUUUUGUGACAGCUCUAUGUGGUAUCAACACCAGAUCGUGUUUGGAUGGUAGGAACAAGCCAUGU